UCUGCCUACAAUGCGGGAGACCUGGGUUCAAUCCCUGGGACUGGAAAAUCCCCUGGAUAAGGGCAGGGCAACACAUUCAGUAUUCUUGCCUGGAGAAUCCCAUGGAUGAGGAACCUGGUAGGCUACAGUCCAUAGGGUUGCAAAGAUUUGGACAUAAGUGAAGC